rnacentral:rRNA from 1 species
AGCCUGCGAAGGUGGCCUGUGAGGGUUGCUGGAGGUAUCAGAAGUGCGAAUGCUGACAUAAGUAACGAUAAAGCGGGUGAAAAGCCCGCUCGCCGGAAGACCAAGGGUUCCUGUCCAACGUUAAUCGGGGCAGGGUGAGUCGACCCCUAAGGCGAGGCCGAAAGGCGUAGUCGAUGGGAAACGGGUUAAUAUUCCCGUACUUGGUGUUACUGCGAAGGGGGGACGGAGAAGGCUAUGUUGGCCGGGCGACGGUUGUCCCGGUUUAAGCGUGUAGGUGUGUGUUCCAGGUAAAUCCGGUUCACUUUAACACUGAGGCGUGACGACGAGGCACUACGGUGCUGAAGCAACAAAUGCCCUGCUUCCAGGAAAAGCCUCUAAGCAUCAGGUAACAUCAAAUCGUACCCCAAACCGACACAGGUGGUCAGGUAGAGAAUACCAAGGCGCUUGAGAGAACUCGGGUGAAGGAACUAGGCAAAAUGGUGCCGUAACUUCGGGAGAAGGCACGCUGACAC